GAGGGUAUAGCUCAAGUGGUAGAGCACAUGCUUAGCAUGCACAAGGUCCUGGAUUCAAUCCCCAGUACCUCUU
rnacentral:tRNA from 1 species